CAAGGCCUGAGCUGUGGUCGGUCACCCGCUGAACUUAAGCAUAUCACUAAGCGGAGGAAAAGAAAACAACUGUGAUUCCCCUAGUAGCGGCGAGCGAAGAGGGAAAAGCCCAAGCCGAAUCGGACUCAAUCCGAAUUGUGGAGUAAGGGAUCCUUUGAUGGGGCGGCGUGUUUGGGAAGUCUUCCUGGAAUGGAGCGCCAUAGAGGGUGAAAGCCCCGUUCCUGAACAUACCUCCGCCGUCCCUACACCUUUGGAUUCUCAGAGUAGUACUGCUUGGGAAUGCAGUGCGAAUGGCAGGUAUACCUCUGCCAAGGCUAAAUAUCAUGGGAAGACCGAUAGCGCACAAGUAGCGUGAGCGAAAGU
rnacentral:rRNA from 1 species